GAUGAACGCUGGCGGCGUGCCUAAUACAUGCAAGUCGAGCGAACAGACGAGGAGCUUGCUCCUUUGACGUUAGCGGCGGACGGGUGAGUAACACGUGGGUGACCUACCUAUAAGACUGGGAUAACUUCGGGAAACCGGAGCUAAUACCGGAUAAUAUUUCGAACCGCAUGGUUCGAUAGUGAAAGAUGGCUUUUCUAUCACUUAUAGAUGGACCUGCGCCGUAUUAGCUAGUUGGUAAGGUAACGGCUUACCAAGGCAACGAUACGUAGCCGACCUGAGAGGGUGAUCGGCCACACUGGAACUGAGACACGGUCCAGACGACUACGGGAGGGAGCAGUAGCGAAUCUUCCGCAAUGGGCGGGAGCCUUACGGAGCAACGCCGCGUGUGAUAUAACGGUCUUCGGAGCGGAAAACUCUGUUAUUAGGGAAGAACAAACGUGUAAGUAACUGUGCACGUCUUGACGGUACCUAAUCAGAAAGCCACGGCUAACUACGUG
rnacentral:rRNA from 1 species